rnacentral:tRNA from 3 species
GGGUCGAUAGCUCAACGGUAGAGCAUCUGACUUUUAAUCAGUUGGUUCGGGGUUCGAAUCCCCGUCGACCCA